GAGCAAAAAAUGGGUCCCCAGCCACAUACAAUAGGCAGUGCAUGCUGUGUUUCAUUCUUCUUUUAGAGAGUGUGAAAUGCAAGACGCAGAACGGGUACUAUCUGGAGUCAAACUUGUUCAAAAAGGUGACACAGGCAGACAUGCUCUGAGGAUCUCAGCGGUGUGACUGAAGGAGCUGCCUCCGCUCGUACCCAGCAGUGCUCCUCCCAUGGCAGCUACCGCCCCUGCACAUUUGAGAGGCCACAACCGGUGACGUGGCUGCAUCGGGGCCUCACUGCCACUGCGUUUUGGGCAACAAGCACACACACCUAAUUAGCACAGAUGGCCUCGGCCGACUAGAUACAGCUAAUGAAAAUAUGGGAGUACGUUUACCCAACCCAAAUAUUAGACUGGAAGAAUACGCUCCCGAAGCUCUUAUGUUAAGUACAGGGGGAGCUUAGAUGGGUGAAUCCAAACCCUGGUCUGCUUCCGUGCAAAACCAGAUGAACUUAAAUGUUUUGAAAAGUUGGGUAAAAGCCAUGAAAGGUCUUCCACAUUUGAAUCUUAAGAAGUUGAGAGAUAUGGCCAUGCUCUUUAGAUAAAUGUGGAAGGGCCAGUAUAAAACACUUUUUAGAAAUCCUGAAUAUAGCAAUCGAUCACACAGGACACACCUCACAGACCGGUCCUAAUACACCUCUCUUUUCAUGCAUCACCUUCCAUUUUUAAGAGUGCUAUCUAUUACUCAGCAUAAAGAAAGAAAGGCAGACACAUGCUAGGGCAAAUUAGAAAAAAGUUCAUGACCAAUAAAAUUAAUAAAUAGAAUUUUUAAAAUGACAUUUUGAAAAUAGUGCAGUGCAAAAGAUAUAAUGCUCUGCCAUCUUGUUCUCUGGGCACUGUGCAUUACAACAAAAUGACAGGUUUAAAUUUCCUCACCAGUAAACAGUGAAACAUAUUAUGUGAAAGGACAUAGAUUAAAAUCUUUGCCUUCACAAAGCAGGUAUCUUUGAUACUCUGCAUGGAAAGUACUGACUGCUCAGAGAAGGCUACUCCAUUUUCUCACUGUGAAAGAGUUCAGUAAACCCUUAUUUCUGAAUUAAAAACUUGUUUUACAUUUGUCAGUCUAAUUACAAUUUAAUCAUACUCUGUUUGUCCCUUGACUCCUCCCUCUCACAGCUACGCUUGAAUAAGCAGGCUGAUGUUUGUGUUGAGACUGCUAUAAAUCUUUAAGAAAGUAGCCUAUUAAAAGGCUCUCUUUAGCUCACACAUCUCUAGUCAGAAGGGAAAGUGUUAUAUAAGAUGUGCUACUGCCAUAUUUGUACGGAUAAAUCUGGGGAAUUGCCUGCUGGAAAAAAAAAUUCGUGAGGAGUAAAUGAGGAUAUCUUUAGAUAAUCGCCUGUGUCUGAGACUCUCAAACAUGCCCCAGAAAUGUAUGUGAUAGUAAAACCUCCCACUUGAGCCCUGUGGAAGCGUGGCGGAAAGGCUGCCGCUACGCCAGAGUGGUGAGUUAUAUAACCGCGGACGCCCAGCGAAAGCCGUUUGCCAAACCUUUGCUUUUACGUAGUUCAGGCUCCAAGCUCUGAGCUCCUGCACUUCAUCAGACGAUCCAUUUGCCAUCCUUCCCAGACUGUACAUUGAAAGAGGGGCUGUAAUGUAGCUUCACAAAGUGAAAUGCAAAAUAAAUGAGACUGUACUUAACAGCCUUCUGGGAGGUGCUUAUCAGACCACAGACGUGUCUCACAUCCAUCGCUGGCUGUAAGGACGGCUCAGGACACUCAAUGUGACCACUGGAAAGCUGGGAACUUACCAGAUGAUAGUCCAAACACUUGUGGGGCCACGAGUUAGUGAUGAGAG